GGGGAUUUAGCUCAGCGGCAUAAGCACCUGUUUCGUAAGCAGGCGGUCGUGAGUUCAAUCCCCG
rfam:Cavia porcellus supercont2_110 genomic scaffold, whole genome shotgun sequence.